AUUGAACGCUGGCGGCAUGCCUUACACAUGCAAGUCGAACGGCAGCACGGGUGCUUGCACCUGGUGGCGAGUGGCGAACGGGUGAGUAAUAUAUCGGAACGUACCUUAUUGUGGGGGAUAACGCAGCGAAAGCUGUGCUAAUACCGCAUAAUCCCUAAGGGGGAAAGCGGGGGACCGUAAGGCCUCGCGCAAUUAGAGCGGCCGAUACCUGAUUAGCUAGGUGGUGAGGUAAAGGCUCACCAAGGCAACGAUCAGUAGCUGGUCUGAGAGGACGAUCAGCCACACUGGGACUGAGACACGGCCCAGACUCCUACGGGAGGCAGCGGUGGGGAAUUUUGGACAAUGGGGGCAACCCUGAUCCAGCAAUGCCGCGUGAGUGAAGAAGGCCUUCGGGUUGUAAAGCUCUUUUGUCAGGGAAGAAACAGCAGCUCUAACACAGUAUGCGAAUGACGGUACCUGAAGAAUAAGCACCGGCUAACUACGUGCCAGCAGCCGCAGUAA
rnacentral:rRNA from 1 species